AUUAAUAGAAAUAUAUAGCAAAAUACAUAUUUUUCAAUUCUAUUCCAGUUAUUGGUAAAAGUGAUGACCUGUAAAUAAUGUUAAAUGUCUCGCUGUACACUGUAUGGUGGAGCCGUUGCUAAAGUUUAAAUCUGAACUUUACUAGAAAACCUUCAGUGAUUUGAGUCUGGAUCCGGAUCUGCUCAUAUUCAGAUAUUCAGAUUAAUAUACUGAAGCUGGUCUUGUAGAUGUAAUCAGAACUGAAUUGAAUGAUAUCAUUUUUAACAUUUUGACUAUCGUAGAGGAUACAAUAUUAUGAAAAACGUUUAUUUUGACUCUGUUCUCACUUCAGUAAUUGUGUGUUGUGUGUGUUAUUGAGUGACUGUCUUCAGGGAAAUGAUGUGGAGUGUGUUUGCAUAUUGAUCAGAUCUUCAGUGUGUGAGAGUGUUUAUAGUGCUGUGAGUUUAACACUUCAUCACUGACACACACAACAAUCUUCAUCAACAUGACCUUCAUCAUCAUCUUCAUCUGGACUCUCACAGCGUUUGCUCAAGAGUGUAGAGGACAGAUCACCGUCACUCAGAGUCCCUCAAUAACAGCAGAACAACCAGGAGGAACUGUGAAUAUCAAAUGUAAAACCAGCAGAGAUGUGUACAGUGUUGGUUCUGUUUAUUUCUUAUCCUGGUACUUACAGAAACCUGGAGAAGCUCCUAAACUCCUGAUUUAUUACGCAAACCGCCUCGAGUCAGGAACUCCAUCUAGAUUCAGUGGCAGUGGAUCUAACAGUGAUUUCACUCUGAGCAUCAGUGGAGUCCAGACUGAAGAUGCUGGACAUUAUUACUGUCAGAGUUAUCACAGUGGUAAUGUGUUCACACAGUGAUAAAGAGUCGUACAAAAACCUCCGUCAG